rnacentral:piRNA from 1 species
UAUGGCAGGACUAAAUAAACUCUU